AGCAAAAAAAUAACAUCAUCUUUAAAUAUACUGCAUUCUUUGUUUAUAGUUUUCUAAGUUUCACUUUCACUAAAUAUAGUUUUGAAUGUGCUGCAAAUGUUUUCGUUUUCACUUUCCAAGUUUUCGUUUGCGCUUCGCAAAUUUACGUUCUCCAUUUUGACACAAACCUCUCGUGAGGGGCGGGCUUAACAGCGGUUCGCUCUUAUUGGCUUGUGAGAUUUUGAUUGACAGCUCAUUGAACCGGAACCCCGGAACAGAAGGUGGCGGUAGUGCACCAAUAAGCUGGAUCCCAACCGCUGUUAAAAAUAACAAGAAGAAGACGAUCGGACGCAGUUUAUUAGCGGAGCUGCAAGUAGUCUAAACAAACGGUAAUAAGAGUAUAUUAAAGAACAUUAUUGAUAAUACACGGAUAUUUUACACGUCAGCAGAGGAAUUACAAUAGUUCAAGAUGAGUAAUCGAGAGGCUCACGGUCCGGAGCACCAACACCAUCCUCCUCGGCCGGACAAUCGAGGCAGCCUGAGGUAAGUUUGUAAUAACUAUCAAAAUAAAUAGAAUAAUCCCACUGCAAGAUUUAUUCAUGUGUGAAGGCUGCAACAGUUGUGUUAAACUGUAUAUGAAUGGUAUUGCAUUUCUCAAAGCAGAGCAAAGAUCGUUACGUAACAGACCAUUUGUUCCAUAUAGUCUACUUUGGCACAUAUGUUAGGCUUACAAUGGAUAUGUGAAACGCAAAGAUAAUGAUCUUUCUUUAAUUGUGGUUAGGCAAACAAUUCUAUCUUUAUUAUUGUCCAUAAAAAACAAAUGUAAGAUUUUAGCCUAAUUCCGCUUUUCUUUUUAUAUUACUUAUCAGGACCAAAGAGUGUAAUUUCUCCAGGUAGGCACUGAACCAUCUCAUGUUGUUCUCUGUAUAUAAAAUACCAAUUUAAAGGGGCUUUGGUAAAUUUUUAGGUUUUUUUAGUUUAUGUUUUUAUUAGAUUUGAAAUGUAACGAGUUCAGCAUAGAAUUCAUGUUAGCUAUUUCUACAAGAACAAGCGUGAGAACAUAUUUUGCAGCGAAUGUUUAGUUAAAAUCAAUUUUAAUUCAAAUCAAUUAAUCUUUAAUGCACGUUUACAAGAGCACUGUGCUACAUAAGGUUAAAAUGAAGCCUUGAAAGGGGUAGUCAUGUUUGCUGUUACUGGUGGGACAGAAAGCUCUCUUUGAAAAGAUAACAUUUUAAAGAUCUUUACUUGUGUUCAGAAGAUGAACCAAAGUCUUAAGGGUUUGGAACGACAUGAUGAAUUAAGCCUCUAUGGUGUGAUGUUUGGUCAGCUGUCUCUUGUACUAUGAAGAACUGCAAUGGAAGAAGAGACAGUGCUUGAUUCGGCAGGUGAACUGCACCUAUUUUAUGGUGGAGCAACUUUUUCAAGAGGAAAUUGUUGACAAUGUCACAGAGGAUGAUGGUGUGGUCGUGGUGCCAGAGAUCUAUUGUCCUUUGUCAGACCAAAAGCCUUUGAUAUCACCAUUGAAUGUCUAGGAGUUAUACCAACAGACACUUGAUGUCACCCAAAGACUGUGCUCCAUUUAAAUUGUAAAAGUCAUUUUCAGGUUUACAAGAUACAAAAGCUGGUUCACAGAUGUACCUUUCCUUUAAAACUAUUUCCCACCUGUAAUCACAAUGGGGACACAUCUCUGACUGCUGGGCUUCCCCUCUUAUUGUGUUCAGAUUCAUAUGCAUCUGCAGGGUUAUUCAUGGCAACACUUUAUAGCGUUGUGCUGGUAAUUUAUCUUUAUAUAUCAUGCCUUCUCACUACAUCUGUCAGCCUGUGCUUUACAUAUCUGAGAGUCAACGCAGCUAAACAUGAAGGACAAAUGCAAUGCAAGAUGUUAUAUAUCGGCAUAUGGAUGAUUAGAAACUGCUUUCUGUUGGUGUGUUUAAACAUCACAUGACAUAGAAAAUUAACUGUCCUCCAUUUUCCUCCUUAGCUUUAAUUUGUACUUUAGACGUCAAUGGGUACACUCUCAUGUGUGCUUACCAUCAUUUAUCAAAAUAUCUUCUCAGCAGAAUAAAGAAACUUAAAUAGGUUUACAACAACAUGAGACUGAGUAAAUAAUAACAGAAUUUUCAUUUUUGUGUGAACUAUCCCUUUAAGACUCUGUAAACCAUUCAGAUGCAUGUAAAAUCAUUAACAACUGUUAAACAGCAUCUAUAAAUGAUAAAAAAGACAUUACUAUUGGGAGAAACAUUUUGUCUAGACAUUUGAGUUCAUUUCAACUGACACU